rnacentral:rRNA from 1 species
UACGUAGGGGGCAAGCGUUGUCCGGAUUUAUUGGGCGUAAAGAGCGUGUAGGCGGCCAGAUAGGUCCGUUGUGAAAACUCGAGGCUCAACCUCGAGACGCCGAUGGAAACCAUUUGGCUAGAGUCCGGAAGAGGAGAGUGGAAUUCCUGGUGUAGCGGUGGAAUGCGCAGAUAUCAGGAGGAACACCGGUGGCGAAGGCGGGUCUCUGGGCAGUAACUGACGCUGAGGAGCGAAAGCGUGGGGAGCAAACAGG